rnacentral:rRNA from 1 species
CGUGUAGGCGGUUUAAUAAGUCAGAUGUAAAAGCCCCGGCUCAACCGGGGAUGGUCAUUUGAAACUGUUAGGCUUGAGUGCGAGAGAGGGUAGUGGAAUUCCCAGUGUAGCGGUGAAAUGCGUAGAUAUUGGGAAGAACACCAGUAGCGAAGGCGGCUACCUGGCUCGCAACUGACGCUAAGGCGCGAAAGCGUGGGGAGCAAACA